rnacentral:rRNA from 1 species
UACGUAGGUGACAAGCGUUGUCCGGAUUUACUGGGCGUAAAGAGCGCGCAGGCGGUCGUUCAAGUCGAGUGUGAAAGCCCCCGGCUCAACUGGGGAGGGUCACGCGAUACUGAUCGACUCGAAGGCAGGAGAGGGUAGUGGAAUUCCCGGUGUAGUGGUGAAAUGCGUAGAUAUCGGGAGGAACACCAGUGGCGAAGGCGACUACCUGGCCUGUUCUUGACGCUGAGGCGCGAAAGCUAGGGGAGCAAACGGG